rnacentral:rRNA from 1 species
GACGAACGCUGGCGGCGUGCUUAACACAUGCAAGUCGAACGGAAAGGCCUCUUUCGGGGGGUACUCGAGUGGCGAACGGGUGAGUAACACGUGAGUAACCUGCCCUUGACUUUGGGAUAACUUCAGGAAACUGGGGCUACUACCGGAUAGGAGCUCCUGCUGCAUGGUGGGGGUUGGAAAGUUUCGGCGGUUGGGGAUGGACUCGCGGCUUAUCAGCUUGUUGGUGGGGUAGUGGCUUACCAAGGCUUUGACGGGUAGCCGGCCUGAGAGGGUGACCGGCCACAUUGGGACUGAGAUACGGCCCAGACUCCUACGGGAGGCAGCAGUGGGGAAUAUUGCACAAUGGGUGGAAGCCUGAUGCAGCAACGCCGUGUGCGGGAUGACGGCCUUCGGGUUGGAAACCGCUUUCGCUCAUGACGAAGCUUUGUGUGACGGUAGUGGGUAAAGAAGCACCGGCUAACUACGUG